rnacentral:rRNA from 1 species
UACGUAGGCAGCGAGCGUUGUUCGGAAUUACUGGGCGUAAAGAGUGUGUAGGCGGUGCUCUAAGUUCGGGGUGAAAUCUCUCGGCUUAACUGGGAGGGUGCGCCGGAAACUGGAGUGCUCGAACGUGGGAGAGGAAAGCGGAAUUCCUGGUGUAGCGGUGAAAUGCGUAGAUAUCAGGAGGAACACCUGCGGUGUAGACGGCUUUCUGGACCAUUGUUGACGCUGAGACACGAAAGCGUGGGUAGCAAACAGG